GAGGGGCCCUAUCCAUUUGCUGGCGGAGUUCUCGCGCCAGGACACCAAGGGAUCCUCUGUGAAUGGACAACAAGGUCGCCUAGGUACCCUCUGACGAGGAGCUCAUGGCGCUCCGGGAUGACGUCUCCAAUUACAUGACGAAAGCGACCUCUGCGGGUUUCACCUCAUUCGAACCACCAAAUUGCGGGGUUUACCAGAAGGGGUUCAAUAGGCUAACGAUUGAGAGACUGAAGGAGAUUUGGUGUUAUAGGAAGAUUAAGCAUGAGAUGGGGCUGCCUUGUCGAGGGCAGAGAACAGAGAAUAACUGCCGCAUGCUCAGGGCAAGAAGGUUGCUGUUGCUGGCAAGAAAGAGAGCUGCUCGUUAAGUAAUCUGUUCACCACAUAUUCUCUUAGAAUUGCUUCGACCGUGGUGAGUUAUGUUCUGUUGACAACAAUUUCUACAGGCCCUUAUGGAUGUUAAUAAUCCAACUAUGUGAUAGAGAAACUUUUUCAGAUUCUGUUGUUGCUUUAUGAAAUGCACCAAUACCAUGGUUGACUUGUGAUUGAAUUACUCGGUUCAUUAUUGAGUCAUAAUAUUGGCAUUUUCUACUCUUAAAACUUUAAAACUUAAUAUUUAUGUAACUGAGUUGGCGUUUGCCAUCAUGACCCUGAUAAACUUUUGCUGCAAAUUAUUUUGUCGUUUAAAAUAAUCUUUGUGUUGCUAACUCAUGGCUACUGAGUCUUUUAUAGUAGUUGACUGAGGCCCCCUCCACCCCACCUUGAAAGUUGCACCGGUAAGGCUUAAGAUGUUAUUUAUGUUUUCCCAUCUGUUGACUUUAGUUUCACAAAUUUGUCAUAGCCAUCAUGGAACACUGAUUCUUUUGGAUUCAUCGAAGAUUUAUGCAACGUUUCUCUGAGUGAUCCUUUAUUGUUUUGGAGCAAAUACUUGGUUGUCGCAUAGCAAAUCUUUGGGAGUGUCAUUCUAUAAUAAUGAUUAAUGUUUAUAUUAACCAUACCAUGGUGAUAUUAUCAGAUACUGAAUUCUAUUUUAUCUUUUUUUUUUUAGUUUAUAAUAAUUAUUUCUUGGCUAUGAUGGGAAGAAAGUUGUUUCUGUAGCUGAAUUUGCACCUGCAAAUACAUUUCCACAUUGAACAAUAUUCGUAGCAUGCAAUCGCUUUAAGUAUGAUUCCUGUAUUCAUUGUUAAGAUUCUUAGUGCGCACUACCUUUGGCAAUUAUUUUGCUUGAACCUGAUUGUUUGCACAAGAUUCUUUCCCUAGCUCAGUCGCAUAACUAAAUUAGGACUUAAAGAUUGAACUCUGGAACAACUUUGUUCAUUGCUGUAAUAAUUCUCUUGGACCAUUCUUUUAGUUUCCUCAAGAACGGUAACCUUAUUAAGUUGGUUCUUUUUACUUCUUUUGCAAUUAUUGUAAGAUCACGUUGAUCAUCUUUGACUGAAGUUGCUUUUAGAUAUUGGAAGAAUGUUGUAGUCUAAAAAUGAUUAAAAUGAUACAUGCAACUCUUUCUAAAUGAAUGAGAUGAUAGACGAGGUAGACCCUGGAUACAAGUGGCAAAUCACAGUGGUCUUUUAUGUGGUUAUGAUUUGCAUAUGCGAAUGGUUAUCUUUCUUGUCCAAUUAAUUUUGGCUAUUCAUAUGAAUUAUAGUCAUGUGAUAUCUUCAAUCUUCUUGUUGAUGUAUGUUUGCUUUUGAGGAAUGAGUACAAUUCAUCAUACAUCAUAGCUUUACCGUGAAAUGUGGGAGGUCCUCCGCUGUAUGUGUUUGGCUUCACAAUAAUUGUUUUCUUAUUCCAUAGUGGAAUUGCCUCAACUAAAAUGAGUACAUUUCAUCAUACAUUGUAGCUUUACCGUGAAAUGCGGGAGGUCCUCCGCUGUAUGUGUUUGGCUUCACAAUAAUUGUUUUCUUAUUGCAUAGUGGAAUUGCCUCAACUAAGCAGAGUUAAUUUCUUUUCCAAUUUUGUGAAAGAUUUUUUUAAUUUUAGAUGAAAAGCUGAAUACUGAAAUGACAAUAUCGAAUAUACAGUUUCUGAUCUCUGACUCUUAUAUCAUUAUGGAUUGAAUUGAGACAGGUAGAGCUCCCAAAAAUUCAUGAUAUGUGAUAGGCAUUUGCGGAGGGGACAUCAUUUUGUGAAAGAGAACUAGGAACUUCAAAUCCAGUUUGCUUUUGCUACUUUUGACUUCCAUCUAAUUCUCAGUGAUGCUUAUGUUGAAGAAGACAGAUGAUAGAAGGCAAAGAAUGGCCACUGUUUGUUGCAGGCGGGAACAAAGCAUUCAUGUGUAUCAAACAUGACUGGAAGCAGAAACACUAUCAUUCUUAUGAGUGUUGCGAAAUAGUCGAUGGCUCUGCAGAGUACAAAGUUCGAGGGACAAGUUCAAGCGCAUCACAGAUAGGUAUCAUUAGAUUUGUGUGAGAGCCUGUCUCCAGCGUAUGGUACCUGCAGAGAUGUCUUACAUGAGGUGGUGGAUGCUGCAGCGGCUUCAACAUAUGCACUUGUUGUUCCUGCAACGCCAUGUGAGCUGCCACCAGUUCAUGCUUCUCACAAGUAGGAUUGCAGUACAAUGGGAGUGCUCAUCAGGUGACCAAACUCUGUUGCAAGCUUCCAACAAGCCAUGUCCAGAUCUUGAGAAAUGAGAAAGCAUAGAAGGAGCCAACACUAUGCCUGUGGAUCUCUGCCUUGGAUUGCACCUCUUAUCUCUCUUAUAUUAGUAUCUUAGAUCGAAAUGUUGCAGUUCCAGAGAAACAAAUCCCUACCUUGGAUUUGGGUUAUUGCUGUUCUACCGCAAAUGAUUAUGUUUCUGGCAGGCAUCCCCAAUAUCUACUUGACUGCAGUGCUACACAUGAUCUUACUGCCACACUCUCCUAUUUUAUUUCUUUUGGUACAUUUCCUCCUAACUUAUUGAGCUGGACUCGAUAGCAUGCUUUGACGAAGUACAAGAUUCCAAUGCACACAACUACAAUGUACAGUUAGACCAAAUUAUAACAGAGGAUCAAAAUAGAUAUGACUUGUGGUGAUGAUUAAGUAGCAUUAUAUCAUCCCACCAUGUUUCAUGAUGUUUCAACGAG